rnacentral:tRNA from 1 species
GAAGACUAGGGGCUGAGAAUAGACUGCUAAUUUACUUCUCCCACGGUUCAACUCCGCGGAGUUUUCG